UACGUAGGGCGCAAGCGUUGUCCGGAAUUAUUGGGCGUAAAGAGCUCGUAGGCGGUUUGUCGCGUCUGCUGUGAAAACUGGAGGCUCAACCUCCAGCCUGCAGUGGGUACGGGCAGACUAGAGUGCGGUAGGGGAGAUUGGAAUUCCUGGUGUAGCGGUGGAAUGCGCAGGAAUAUCGAGGAGGAACACCGAUGGCGGAAAGG
rnacentral:rRNA from 1 species